GGGGUUGUGGCUCAGCGUUAGAAUGCUCACCUUACAUAUGAGAGAUCCUGGGUUCGAUCCUCAGAACCACA
rnacentral:tRNA from 1 species